AUUGGAUUGAGCUUAUAAAAAUCAUACGCACUAAAUUCAUGAUCAUCAUGUCAGGUCGUUUUCUUUGGCGUUCCGAAUAUCAUCCUCAAUCGAUUUCUCGAAGCGCGUGCUCGACGUACCUCCCAGCUCUUCCUGGACCAAGAUAUGCAUCAGAAGCCUUUCAACUAUUUGGACAGUGAGACAAACUAGAGAAUAUUCCAAAUCUUUGGAUGGUGAGAGAAAGGAAAUUGAUAUACAGAAUAUACUAAGGGAUAUCAAAUACUUGGGUGCCUCCAAUAUAUCCUGGAAGGAGAGAGCAGAUGGAGAACCAGAAUGUGUUUGCAUUGGGUUGAACGAUAAGGAUUCUUUGAGAUUUUUGGCGAUCCUUGAAAUCAGCAAAAUCAUCAAGCUGUCUAACUUGUUGCAUUUCCUUCAGAAAAGCCUCCUAAAAAGCAUACAAUACCACUUAGUGGCAAAAGUGGCGACGAAAAGUCAGAAGCAAAGAGGAUUGAUUCUUGGCCUCUUUGCCAAUAAUGCUGCAAAGAAAAAUAGUAAACCGCAGAAGAUAAAAACAGAAGACAAUAAUAUUGAAGGCAAGUGAAAGUCAUUUUAAGAAAGGUGUGCUGAAUGUGAAACAUCUGCUGGCACCAACUCCAAUUAAAGCGCAUGAUGCUUUCCUCCAAGAAGAUUGGUAAAGGAAUGAAGGGAAAGGAGAGGAGCUGAUGGAGGGAAAUGUUUCUAUCACCUAGCCUCCAAUUUGAGUUGUUUUCACUUCUUAGACAGUUCAUACAAGUGCAGUUCAGGUUGUUCUCAGGGCAAAACCUGGUCCAUUCUCAGUUUGCUGGCAAGUGUAGAGCUGCUUGUUUUAUCUCCAAACAGUUCAGCUUUAGAGGCGGAGAAAGCUUUAUAGGCGGAGAAAGCAAAUGAGGAUGGUAUUGGUAUAGAGUGAAGAAAAAAUCAUAUACGACUUAUGAGGCAAUGCUUCACCAUUUUGAAGCCACAGGCAUCAGUGCUUUGAAAGCCGAGAUGGCAACAUAAGCAAAUGGGUUGAGUGUAACUAUUUGCGGACGUUGUGGCGGCAGGUGCUGCUGUUGCUGAGGGCUCUGAAGGUGGGGACCUUUUGGGAGAGUGGGAAGGGAGGCUGAUUGAGAGGUCCAAAUUGAGGUCUGGGAAGCGGUCCUCGUCGACGCUGGCGCCGGAGCUCCGGCCCUCGUCACCGGAGUUUGCGGGCUUGGCAGCGAUGGUGGCGGGGGCCUCUUGUUGCUGGGUGCCGGCGAAGGUGGCGCAGCCGUUGAGCGGCCGGUGAGUUUGGGGGUCUAGGCCUCGGCUCAGGAGCUUCCUCUUGAUGUGGGUGUUCCAGUAGUUCUUGAUCUCAUUGUCAGUCCUCCCAGGUAGCCUCCCGGCUAUCAAAGACCAUCUGUCACAAUUAUUGAAGAAAAAAUUAACAAUCACAUCAUAAAAAUUAUUUUUUUAAUAUUGUUUUAAAAUAGGAAAAAUAUCAUUAAAAUCUCCUCUCACAACUUCCAUCCAAA